rnacentral:rRNA from 1 species
UUAGAGUUUGAUCAUGGCUCAGAUUGAACGCUGGUGGCAAGCCUAACACAUGCAAGUCGAGCGGCAGCACAAGGGAGUUUACUCCUGAGGUGGCGAGCGGCGGACGGAUGAGUAAUGCCUAGGGAUCUGCCCAGUCGAGGGGGAUAACAGUUGGAAACGACUGCUAAUACCGCAUACGCCCUACGGGGUGAAAGAGGGGGACCUUCGGGCCUCUCGCGAUUGGAUGAACCUAGGUGGGAUUAGCCAGUUGGUGAGGUAAUGGCUCACCAAGGCGACGAUCCCUAGCUGUUCUGAGAGGAUGAUCAGCCACACUAGGGACUGAGACACGGCCCAGACUCCUACGGGAGGCAGCAGUGGGGAAUAUUGCACAAUGGGGGAAACCCUGAUGCAGCCAUGCC